AGAGUUUGAUCAUGGCUCAGAUUGAACGCUGGCGGCAUGCCUUACACAUGCAAGUCGAACGGUAACGGGCCUUCGGGUGCCGACGAGUGGCGAACGGGUGAGUAAUGCAUCGGAACGUACCUUUCAGUGGGGAUAACGUAGCGAAAGUUACGCUAAUACCGCAUAUUCUGUGAGCAGGAAAGCAGGGGAUCGCAAGACCUUGCGCUGAUUGAGCGGCCGAUGUCAGAUUAGCUAGUUGGUGAGGUAAAGGCUCACCAAGGCGACGAUCUGUAGCGGGGUCUGAGAGGAUGAUCCGCCACACUGGAACUGAGACACGGUCCAGACUCCUACGGGAGGCAGCAGUGGGGAAUUUUGGACAAUGGGGGCAACCCUGAUCCAGCCAUGCCGCGUGAGUGAAGAAGGCCUUCGGGUUGUAAAGCUCUUUCGGCCGGGAAGAAAUCGCAUGGGUUAAUACCCUGUGCGGAUGACGGUACCGGCAUAAGAAGCACCGGCUAACUACGUG
rnacentral:rRNA from 1 species